CUUUACCGAUAUGGACUUACGAGGUAUCAGUGGAAAGGCAGAGUAUAUGUCAGACCGCAACGGAGUACAGAGCCGCAAGUAGUCAAAAGCAAAGAAAGUGUCGAUACAUUGUCAGCGAACUAAAGCAGAUAAGAGAAAAAUCAAGAAACCACCAAACAUAACAUAGGGAUGACGAAAAAACAUCGAUACAUCGAAAAUUUUCCACACGAUGUAUAAAUAGCAGAGACCAUAACGAUUAUAAGAAAUAAAAUUAAAUAUUGCUCAAUAAUUAUUACUGAACAGAGGAAAA